rnacentral:lncRNA from 1 species
UGAUGAGACAAAAAAAAAAAAGUGGCGGAAGGGAGCGGUGCAGGGUGGGUCCCUAUUCCAAGACUCCAGUGGCCAUCGCGACCCGCCCAGCUUGGUCCAAGAGGCCCUUCUGGGCCUCGAGGUCAGCAAGAGCGAGGAUGGCCUCCCAGGGCUCCCUUAGCAAGAUGUCCAAGCGCCCAUUCAAGCAUCUCGGGAAACGCAGUCUGCCGUUCUUUCGGUGGGCUGUACACGUUGCCAAUAAACGUUUUGGUUUUA